UACGGAAGGCAGCAGUGGGGAAUAUUGCACAAUGGGCGCAAGCCUGAUGCAGCCAUGCCGCGUGUAUGAAGAAGGCCUUCGGGUUGUAAAGUACUUUUCAGUCGUGAGGAAGGUGUUAAGGUUAAUAACCUUAGCAAUUGACGUUAGCGACAGAAGAAGCACCGGCUAACUCCGUGCCAGCAGCCGCGGUAAUACGGAGGGUGCGAGCGUUAAUCGGAAUUACUGGGCGUAAAGGGCACGCAGGCGGUUAAUUAAGUUGGAUGUGAAAUCCCCGGGCUUAACCUGGGAAUGGCAUUCAAGACUGGUUAGCUAGAGUCUUGUAGAGGGGGUAGAAUUCCAUGUGUAGCGGUGAAAUGCGUAGAGAUGUGGAGGAAUACCGGUGGCGAAGGCGGCCCCUGGACAAAGGCUGACGCUCAUGUGCGAAAGCGUGGGGAGCAAACGAGGAUUAGA
rnacentral:rRNA from 1 species